rnacentral:lncRNA from 1 species
UUUACUGUUCGUGAAUGCUGAGAAAGUUUAUGUCUAAUGUAUUAGCUGUGUCAACCAUUUAUAGUGUGAAGCCACUUUCCACUUGCAACGCUAAGGAUACCGAGACGCAGGAUACCUAGACGCAUAAAUACAUUAUGCUAGUGGCACGGCCAAAAUUAUUUACUCCAAAGUCUUUAUCCUCUUCGUUUAUAUCGCUAACAAGAAAUCGUAGUCACAAAUGUACAUACGUUGAAACAUUUGAACAACGUACAACAAGCCAAUAAUGACAAGAAUGGAGAUGAAAGUGGUGAUGGUUAGUGGUAGUCGUGGUAGUAAUGGAAGUGGUAAGUGGAAGUGGUGGUGGUGGUGGUAGUGCUUGUGGUAAGUGGAAGUGGUAGUGGUAGUGGUGCUGUGCUGAUGCUGGCGCCGAUACUGGUGAUGAUGUUGAUGCCUAUACUGACACUAGUACUGACACUAGAUGACACUAGUACUGGUACUAAUGGUACCAUUCAACUUGGCAAGUAUAAGACUUAUGUGUGUAAGUGGUAAAAAAUCAAUGAGUAAACUCCACUAAGAAAAUUUCACAACUCCGUUGAUUCUUUUGAGUAUACAAACAUGAACGUUCAAGUUUUACCUUUGUUAAUUCAAUUCUAAUUAUACUGGUUUGUACUUGCUAAGCAUGUCCUGUUCACUUAUCUAAUUCGUUUCAAUUGCGGCAACUCUGGUCCGAUUUAUAAUUCGAAGAACUGAGUUUUUACCCUUUGGAUAAAGUUUUUCAACAUACUUACAAUGAUUAUGGUCUCCACUCCUGACGUAGGUCCAUGUGGUAAUAGAACACAAACUUCAAAAUCUCAUCACUAUAUUAUACUUGGUACAACAUGCAAUACCGAUUGUAUAUACCGAAUACAGUUUCCUAUUGCAAUGAAUGUGAUUUAAUCAUUUUAUGGGAGUUUUUUCAUUCAAAACUGCUUUAAAUCUAAAAACUCUUCUUUAUUCUUGACACUCGUAUAUGUUGUCUGAUAUUCCUAUUCGUGUUUCAAUAACGAAGUUUACUUUCAUUCAAAUAAAUAGAACCAAUCAAGUUUACUAGUGCUUAUUUUUUUCUUUUUUAAUAAAAAGAAUGAAUAUUAGGUGUAUGAUAUGAAUACGUUUUUGUUUGUUUGUUUGCAAAUUAAAAUUAAAAACAACAAAAAAUUAAAGCUACUGAUUUAACUUUGCUUAUUCCAUAACACUUCUUACUCAAUCUCACAUAACCGUUGCAUUCAUUAUAUAGCUUAGCUUCAAUGAAAGUGGUCAAUAAAUGUAAAAAUAAGUAAUUCAGCCUUGCUCAAUUGCACCGUUUUUCCAAAUGUCGCAUGAACACUCAAGUAAAGAUGUGACAAAAUAAAUAAGAAUAAAAAUAAAAAUAAAUUUACAAAUCAGAGUUUAAACCCAAUGUAUUCCCAAAAAAGAGUUUAUCACAAACCAAACAAGAUAGAUAUGAAAUGAAAAGUUAAAUAAAUAAAAAUGGAUCGAAUGGUUAGAAUUAUUAGAUCAAGGUAAGUUUGCUUGGGAAAGAUUCAUGAGUAUUUAUAAUAAACAUAUAAUUCUCAAAUAGCUUAAUGAAGUAAUGGUGACUGAGCUACAAAGGCAAGGAAAUAAGUUUUUAAAAAAUUUCAAAAUGCUGUUAAUAAAAUAUAUGUAGUAAAAUUACAAAUACCAAAGACAUUUCGGAAAAUUCAUCCUUCAAAGUUCUUGUUCUUCCAAACUUCGGUAUACUUUCCACACGAUAUUUAUCAAUUACCAUCAGACUUCUAAAGAGCUUAAUUUACUCAUUUUAUCGCUGGUAAUCUUGGUAAAAUCAGUGUUUAUAUCAUUUGUGUAAAUAUUGAUGGUUGUUAACAUUUUCUGAAACAAUUGCUGAUAUGAAAGACUAUUAAAAGUCCUGUUUCAAAAAUUGAGAUAAAGAUUUUGGAAAACAUAGAUACAUGUACAUCAUCGCUUAGCACUUUGAGAAAGAGAUAAUAAUAGAAUCAUAUUUACCCCAAACUAAUUCAUGGGUGAUUGAUGAAAACAUCAACCAUUGUUUCAUUUCAUAAAGCAACACUGGGUGAGCACUAAAUAGACGGAACCAAAUGAUGUGAGGUUCAUGAUGGGUUCAUCGUUUCCAUUCAGUUUACACACCAUACGAAGAGGAAAAAGAAGUUAUUAAAAAAGUACAAGCGAUGCCGUCAGUUGGAUAUAAAGAAACGAGAGCUAGUACGUAUUACCACACCACCACAAUUUAACCCGAUUAGGCAAACAUCAAGAGUCCUGCAAAGACCGAAUCAAUCGGUACAUGUCUCGCUGAAAAACUUUAUAGUUGAAUGUUGUCUCCAUUUCUUGUGAUAUGAGUUUCAAGUUUUGAUCUUUUUUAAAAUCGUCAUCAAUCAUUUCAUCAUUUCAUCUUUUUGUUUGUUUGUUUUUUUAAUUUUUAAACAAUAUCGAACUUUAAUUACUGGAGUUCAGCCGACUGGAGAUGUAAAAGUCUUUAUCGUUUUUUGUUGACAAUCAUACUCGAAAAAAAAGAAAUCAAAUCAGAAUUGAACACGAAGUAUGACCCGAAUUGCUCUAGUACACGUGAUGUCGUCAUGGCAAGAAAUUUUGGUGAUGUGGGUCUACUAAUCCAAUAAUAGCGACUUCCUUACUUAUUAAGAGACUUGAAGGCAGUUCAAAAUACCUGUGUCUGCUCACAUAU